UUGCCAGUUGUGUUCUUGGUUCACGUGGUACUGCUGUACCAGGACCUUAAGCAACACCAUGGAAGCGGUUCUGACCACCUUUGCUCUUUUCUACUAUCCCAUGGAAGGUGCCAAUAUGGAGAGCAGCCACCACUACCUGGCCCUGGUUGCGCUGGCAUGCAUUAUCCGCCCAACAGCUGCCAUUCUGUGGGCUCCACUGCUGCUCUGGCACUUUUGGAAGGAGUCCAACAAGAGGCGUCUCCUCUGGGGCACUUGCCUUCCAGUGGGACUAAUCGCUUUGGGAGGUUCGUUAGUAGUUGACAGGGUCUUUUUUGGCAAGUGGGUUGUGGUUCCACUCAACUUUUUGAAGUUUAAUGUUCUGCACGAUCUGGCCACCUUCUACGGAUCCCACUCCUGGCACUGGUAUUUCACCCAGGGCUUGCCAGUGGUCCUGGGCCCUCACCUGCCUUUCUUCCUCCACGGCUGCUUCAACGCCCCGAGGAAGCAUCGGGUGUUCUUGGUGGUUGUGCUUUGGACUGUGGCAGCCUACAGCAUACUUCAUCACAAAGAAUUCCGAUUUAUCUAUCCCAUCCUGCCCAUCUGUAUGCUCUUCUGUGGGCAUUCGCUGGCUCGGCUGAAGAGGUGGAGAAGGGCUGCCGUUUCCUUCUUGCUGAGCUCCAACCUGCUCCUUGCCCUCUACACUGGUUUGGUGCAUCAGCGUGGCACUCUUGACGUGAUGGUCUACCUCCGGGAGCUCUGCAGCCCCUUGGCCCAAGGGCAGUCCUCCAUUCUCCUGCUAAUGCCCUGUCAUUCAACUCCUUUUUACAGCCAUAUUCACUGUCCACUGCAACUGAGAUUUCUUCAGUGCCCUCCAGAUUUGACGGGAAGAACCAACUAUCUUGAUGAAGCUGACUUAUUUUACUCUCGCCCUCUCCAGUGGCUCAGCGAAGAGUUUCCUAAUGCUACACAACUACCCUCCCACUUGGUCUUCUUCAACGUGCUUGAGCAGGAAAUAUCACCAUUUCUGAUUUCAAACAGUUAUGUAAAAGCUGCCAUGUUCUUUCACACCCAUCUGCCUCAAGGACGAGUUGGAAGCCACAUUUAUGUAUUCAAAAAAUUAUUUUGAAGAUUGGCCAAACUGAGUUAAGAGAUGAACAGGCGGGGCUGAUGCAGGAGGAACAGCAAAGCAGCAGCCCCUGCCCUUGAGUAUACCCAGAUAUGUGCAAGAAAAUUUAAAAGCAAGAUGAUCAGAAGGCAGCCACACAAUCCCAUCGCAAUCAGAAUAAUUAAACAGCUAUAAAAGAUGUGCUUCUGGAGA